AGAAUCAACGCUGGCGGCGUGCCUAACACAUGCAAGUCGAACGAGAAAGUGGAGCAAUCCAUGAGUAAAGUGGCGCACGGGUGAGUAACACGUGACUAACCUACCCUUGAGUGGGGGAUAACCUAGGGAAACCUGGGCUAAUACCGCAUAAUACCUUCGGGUCAAAGGAGCAAUUCGCUUAAGGAGGGGGUCGCGGCCGAUUAGUUAGUUGGCGGGGUAAUGGCCCACCAAGACGAUGAUCGGUAUCCGGCCUGAGAGGGCGCACGGACACACUGGAACUGAAACACGGUCCAGACUCCUACGGGAGGCAGCAGUGGGGAAUUUUGCGCAAUGGGGGAAACCCUGACGCAGCAACGCCGCGUGGAGGAUGAAGUCCCUUGGGACGUAAACUCCUUUCGAUCGGGACGAUAAUGACGGUACCGGAAGAAGAAGCCCCGGCUAACUUCGCGCCAGCAGCCGC
rnacentral:rRNA from 1 species